rfam:Acidianus hospitalis W1, complete genome.
AGCCGGGUCGUCUAGCGGUCAAGGAUGGCGGGCUUUGGCCCCGUCGACCAGGGUUCGAAUCCCUGCCCGGCUA